rnacentral:tRNA from 1 species
CCGGCGGCCUACAAUGGCUUUGUCGCCUGGCUAACCACCAGGCGACAUACGUUCUCAGGGCGGGGUGCAACUCCCCACCGGCGGU